rnacentral:rRNA from 1 species
UACGUAGGUGGCAAGCGUUGUUCGGAAUUAUUGGGCGUAAAGGGCGCGUAGGCGGUUUGUUAAGUCGGUUGUGAAAGCCCGGGGCUCAACCCCGGAGAGUCGACCGAUACUGGCAGACUAGAGUACAGAAGAGGUAGCUGGAAUUCCUGGUGUAGCGGUGAAAUGCGUAGAUAUCAGGAGGAACACCUGAGGCGAAGGCGGGCUACUGGGCUGAUACUGACGCUGAUGCGCGAAAGCCAGGGGAGCAAACAGG